GACGUAGGAGACAAACGUUAUCCGGAAUUACUGGGCGUAAAGCGUACGCAGGCGGCUUUGCAAGACAGGUGUGAAAUCCCCGGGCCUAACCUGGGAACUGCAUUUGUGACUGCAUAGCUAGAGUCUGUCAGAGGGGGGUGGAAUUCCACGUGUAGCAGUGAAAUGCGUAGAGAUGUGGAAGAACACCGAUGGCGAAGGCAGCCCCCUGGGAUGAUGCUGACGCUGAUGCGCGAAAGCCAGGGGAGCAAACGGG
rnacentral:rRNA from 1 species